rnacentral:lncRNA from 1 species
UGGCUGCGGCCGCACCUCCACGCCCGGUCCCCUCCUCUGUUUGAUUUGGCGACAUGAAGGUCCAGAUUAAGAAGAGUCUGCACGGAAUUCCUACACGUCAGUGAAACCUGGCCUUUAGGGUCCAAGGCAUCUCCCAGGCUGGGAGAGAGUUGAACUGAAGAGAACCUGAAACUUGAGUACCAAUUAUUUCUUAAAAAAAAAAACUUUGAAAGGUACAAAAUAGUUGUGAGAAUAGUAACAUCGUAUUUCUUCACCUAAACUCACUAGUUAACAAUUUCCCACAUUUGCUUUCUCACUCUCUCUCCAUCUAUAUGAUUUGCGACAUCCUUUGAGAGUAAUUGCAGACAUCUCAAGAUCAUUAGUGCACCUCUGUUGCCCCUUUCCUUUGGCAAGGUCCCUUGAAACCAGCUGGAGGACUUUUCCUCCAAGGACAGGGGAGGCCUUUGUCCUCUGGAGGAGACUCCUCUUGCCCUUUCAGGAACUUGGCACCUGUUUCCUUCAGGCUGUAGAGAAGCUUCAGGCAUAGUUUUUUUCGCUCUCCCCUUCUCCACCACAGUGCAGGCCAGGCCCACCCUCUGCUUGUAGGAACAGAUAAGUUGUCAUCGCCUCCCCACCUCCCCGCGCCCGCUGCCCUCUGGACUCCUCCUGUUUGCUUUGUCAAGUAGUGGGGUCUUGGGUGAAUCUGAGCUCUAGAACUGCCCACCUCCUCAAGAAGACCCUUCAGGGAUACACAGAUGCCCCCUUCCCUCCUGCCUGGCUCUCUGUGACCAGCAGGGGUCUUAAAGCGUUCUGAUUUGAUAAAAAGGUGAAGAAUCCUUGCCUGUGGUGGGAGGAUAAGAGGAGCAGGUGGGAAAGGCUUCAAAGGGAAGAGGAAAUUUCUUAAGCGCUUUCCAGAAUUGUCUGCAUCUGGCUGUCAG